GACGUAGGGCGCGAGCGUUGUCCGGAAUCAUUGGGCGUAAAGCGCGCGUAGGUGGCCAUUUAAGUCCGCUGUGAAAGUCAGAGGCUCAACCUUUGAAAGCCGGUGGAUACUGGAUGGCUAGAGUACGGAAGAGGCGAGUGGAAUUCCUGGUGUAGCGGUGGAAUGCGCAGAUAUCAGGAGGAACACCAUAGCGAAGGCAGCUCGCUGGGACGUUACUGACACUAAGGCGCGAAAGCGUGGGGAGCGAACAGG
rnacentral:rRNA from 1 species